GAAACACCCUUAUGGAGCAGGACUUGCUUCAGUGGGGCUUUGGUGCUCACUGAGUCUGCCUCCCUUCAGUGUGUCACU
rnacentral:pre_miRNA from 1 species